AGGGAAAUCGUUCCACCUUGGGGUUCCUAAGCAAAAGUAAAAUAGCAGCAGCUGUUUUUAUCUGCCUCCUGACACACCUCCAUGGCUCAUCCUUGGUGGAUUAAACGCUCAAGUGACACCCUUUUAUUCAGCUGGCCACUUGGGCUUGAGGGCCUAAAGAAGAUGCCAUCUAUUUCAAAGUAUGCCAUGCCAUCCCAGAAGAGUCCUUGAAACCUUUCUCUUCUCUCUAAGUGACACCAGGGUCCCCAGAGGCCACAGGAUAGAGACAUAUUGAGAAUGGAGGGGGAGACAGAAGAGGAGAGAGAAAGAGAGACAUCUGCAGCCCUGUUUCACCAUAUGUGAAGCUUCCCCCUGCGGGUGAGG